rnacentral:tRNA from 1 species
GCAGUGGUAGUUCAGUGGUAGACUUCUUGCCUUACAUGUGGAAAGGCCGGGUUCAAUUCCUGGCUGGUGCA